CGCCGUGUCAGCAGGAAUGAAAUAUGGCUUUUAAAGAAUAACAGGUCUAGUUUUGUAGCUUCUCUUCGGCAGGUACGGGAUCAGAGCGGUGUCCAUGACGACGGAGACAACAGAGCGUAGAAUGCCGUCAUUGACGAAUCGCGAUCGAGUAUUCAGCGAUGACGUUCCUUUCCGAAAGCUGCGUUAGUCGCGCUCCUUCUUCGCAAAGUUGACACUAAAUCCUCUGAAGGCAGAAAGACGCUCGGCCACCGGCGCCUUUUCAGGCUGUCGCUGAUUUUUGUCUGGAAACUUGAGAUCUUGAGUGGUGGUUCAAGUCUCAAGGACGUCAAGUGUAACAGCAUUAAAGUCCAAAGUGUGCGAGUGUGACGUCCAUCUGGUCCGGUUGUCUGGAAGGUGCACACUGAAAGACACACACUGCAGGUCUGCACACACACACACACACACACACUGCAGGUCUCUGCACACACACACACACACACACACACACACACACACACACACACACACACACACUGCAGGUCUCUGCACACACACACACACACACACACACACACACACACACACACACACACACACACACACACACACACACACACUGUAUGUCUCUGCACACACACACUGCAGGUCUCUGUACACACACACACACACACACGCACACUGCAGGUCUCUGUACACACACACACACACACACACGCACACACACACGCACACUGCAGGUCUCUGUACACACACACACACACAUGUCAAAGACAAAAUAACUUGCACAUAAAAUGAAAAUGGGGGGGGGGCAACACAUGGACGCCUCAGAAAAGAAUUACUCUGCUUUGAUUUUUUGGGGGAGGCUUUAUUGCGCAAUACGGAGAGAUUAAAGCAAACACGGCUCCGCGUUCACUUUGGGCCGAUCUUGGGGGGUUUCGCCGCCUCGAGAACAAACAGCGAGAAUCUCAGCGAAGCAAGAAGACGCCAAUUAAAUACUGCUAGUGAGAUAAAGACAGACGGAGAGACGGAGAGAGAGACAGACAGAGAGACGGAGAGAGAGACAGACAGAGAGACAGACAGACAGAGAGAGAGACGGAGAGAGAGACAGAGAGACAGACAGAGAGAGAGACAGAGAGAGAGACAGACAGAGAGACGGAGAGAGAGACAGACAGAGAGACAGACAGACAGAGAGAGAGACAGACAGAGAGACGGAGAGAGAGACAGACAGAGAGACAGACAGACAGAGAGAGAGACAGAGAGCCACAUACACAAUAAAUGUUCCUUUUGAAGUGAUGAACGCACAGAAAAGCAAGCGGCUCUAAUUCAGUCGUAUCAGCAUGGAAAAUGAAGCAGGGAACUAUUGAGGAGCCGGUGAGCAGCUGAACGUUGUCUUUCCUGUUUUGUUUUAUUUGGGGGGGGGGGGGUUGGUCCUUCCACGCCGCUCUGGCAUGACGCCCAAAACCAGAAACACAGCAGGGCGGCGCGUCCUACCUGUGGGCGGAGCGGUGGGCAGCCUGGCGGGGGCCACGCAGAGAGGAAGCAGGAAGCAGAGCCACAGCGAGCGCCACGGCGCCGUCAUCCCUCUGGGCGGGCGGGGGCGGAUGAUGCAGAGCAGCGAGGCCCGAGCCGGACUCAGACCGCCUCCUCCGCCGGCAUGCUGGGGGCCUCCGACGCCUCGCCGUCACCCACCUGGCCCCCGGAAAACAAACCACACACACACGUGAGCAGGACACUGAGCGGGCGGGAGGAACGCGCCAUCACCUCGGGAACUGAAUAUGAACCAGUGGACCAGUGGACCAGUGGACUGGUGGCCUGGUGGACCAGUGGACUGGUGGCCUGGUGGACCAGUGGACUGGUGGACUAGUGGACUAGUGGACUGCCAGCUGGACGCCGCGGGGGGAAACGUCGCAAAUUCCACACAGAUUUCAAAGAUUGCUGAUGGAGGAACGGCUCAGAGAAACCUCAGCCUGACGAGGACCAACACAAAUCACCAGUGGCCCAACGGGCCCGGCGGCCCGCAGGAGGAAGAGGAGGAGGAGGAGGAAGAGGAGGGAGGUGACGGCUGCACGGCGAGUGGCGGCGGAGUGCUCCGCUCUCUGUUUGCUUAGGGAGGGAGAAGCUGGAAUGCACUGAGGUUUGAGGAGAAAGCUGUGAGCGACGUGCCCAGAAAAGCACCCCCCCCCCCUCUACACACACCCCCUUCACACACACACACACACACACACACACACACACACACACACACACACACACGCACAACACCAACUGUUAGCUUAAACUUUAGGGGCUCUGUCCAGCUUUGGAAUAGCCUUGGCUGUGAGACCCCGACAAAAACACGCGCAGGCGAGUGGGCUUCUGCACACAGAGGUGUAUUGUGCGCACUCACACACACACACACACACACACACAGUCCAGAGAGCGUGUGUGUGUCUUUUCUUGUGACCCACUCAUUGCUCAGCACUAACUGAAGCCGACUCGGCGAGACUGUGUUUGCACAUUAUCGCUCUCCAACACGUAUCUCAGGUGUGUGUGACACACACACACACACACACACACACACACACACACACACACAGACACGCGUGACUUGAUAAAGCGGGGGGAGUGUAAUCUAAGCACUUCCCUGUGGGUCUCUCUGACUCUGUGUUUUCUGGCAGCUUUCUGCAGCCACUUCACUUGGAGAGCCGACUCUUGGGUUCGUGUCAGCGUGCAGAUCUGUUUAGACAAGACGACUGGAAAAACCACGCCGGCUUUUGGAUGGACGUCUGGUGACAGGUAGCAGUCGGGACUACUUUGGGUACAAAGUGAACCCUCGGAUUGGAGGAGCAGCGCGGAGGUGGAACCAGUUUAAAACCCCUGCGAUUAAUAGAUGAGGAAGGGACCUUAUAUGCUCGGUGUUGUCGGCAUGUAACGAGCAAUGACACUCGGCUGAGACGGUUUUACACUCUGAUUUCAGGCCCACGCAGCGGAGGAGGGGGGGCGCGGAUCCUAAAAGACACGACCCCGCAGGUCAAAGCCUUACGACUGCUUUUCACGCUGAUAUAUAUAAUAUAUAUAUACUUAAAGCAUGAAAGGGAAACACAGCCAGUAAAUAAAACAUGAACAUAAUCAUGCAGAACUGUCCUCUCGCUGUAAAAACUCGGGGGCGGAAAACAAAGAGAUUAAACCGGGGUUCAUAUCCCUGUCGCCCCCCCCCCCUCAGUGGGCGGCGAGUCACAUGCUGGUCACCCCUCUCCCGCAGUGCUAAUCUU
ensembl:lncRNA